rnacentral:siRNA from 1 species
UCCACUUACAUGAUUCAUUUGAAU